rnacentral:rRNA from 1 species
AUUGAACGCUGGCGGCAGGCCUAACACAUGCAAGUCGAGCGAGCGGCGGACGGGUGAGUAAUGUAUGGGGACUGCCCGAUAGAGGGGGAUAACUACUGGAAACGGUAGCUAAUACCGCAUACUAUCGGAUAACCCAUAUGGGAUUAGCUAGUAGGUGAGGUAAUGGCUCACCUAGGCGACGAUCCCUAGCUGGUCUGAGAGGAGGAUCAGCCACCCGGGGACUGGGACACGGCCCAGACUCCUGCGGAUGCAGCAGGGGGGAAUAUGGCACAAUGGGCGCUAGCCUGAGGCAUCCAUGCCGCGUGUAUGAAGAAGGCCCUAGGGUUUUAAAGUACUUUCAGUCUUGAGGCGGUAGCGACAGAAGAAGCACCGGCUAACUCCGUGCCAGCAGCCGCGGUAAUUC